rnacentral:rRNA from 1 species
AGCGAACGCUGGCGGCAGGCCUAACACAUGCAAGUCGCACGAACUCUUCGGAGUUAGUGGCGGACGGGUGAGUAACCCGUGGGAACGUGCCUUUAGGUUCGGAAUAACUCAGGGAAACUUGUGCUAAUACCGAAUGUGCCCUUCGGGGGAAAGAUUUAUCGCCUUUAGAGCGGCCCGCGUCUGAUUAGCUAGUUGGUGAGGUAACGGCUCACCAAGGCGACGAUCAGUAGCUGGUCUGAGAGGAUGGCCAGCCACACUGGGACUGAGACACGGCCCAGACUCCUACGGGAGGCAGCAGUGGGGAAUCUUGCGCAAUGGGCGAAAGCCUGACGCAGCCAUGCCGCGUGAAUGAUGAAGGUCUUAGGAUUGUAAAAUUCUUUCACCGGGGACGAUAAUGACGGUACCCGGAGAAGAAGCCCCGGCUAACUUCGUGCCAGCCGCCGCAGUAA